rnacentral:lncRNA from 1 species
AUAUAUCAUCAAAUUUUUCAAUUUCUUUUAAAUCUUUUCCUGGAUAGAUCAAAUCCAGAAAUCCAUAAUCUGCUGCCAUUUUGACCAUGAAAGGGUCUGCAUCUUUGGUAAUUAUUAAUCUGGGAUAAACAUGAUCUCCUGAUACAAUAAAAUAUGAUUCAUUUUCUUCCAAUUCAUAAACAAUUUUGGCAAAUGAUCUAUAUUCUUCUUCUUUUGAUGAUAAAGGGGUAUCAUCAUCUUUAUCAGUUUUGAUCCUGAUA